AGUGAACGCUGGCGGUAGGCCUAACACAUGCAAGUCGAACGGCAGCACAGUAAGAGCUUGCUCUUACGGGUGGCGAGUGGCGGACGGGUGAGGAAUACAUCGGAAUCUACUUUUUCGUGGGGGAGAACGUAGGGAAACUUACGCUAAUACCGCAUACGACCUACGGGUGAAAGCAGGGGAUCUUCGGACCUUGCGCGAUUGAAUGAGCCGAUGUCGGAUUAGCUAGUUGGCGGGGUAAAGGCCCACCAAGGCGACGAUCCGUAGCUGGUCUGAGAGGAUGAUCAGCGACACUGGAACUGAGCCACGGUCCAGACUCCUACGGGAGGCAGCAGUGGGGAAUAUUGGACAAUGGGCGCAAGCCUGAUCCAGCCAUACCGCGUGGGUGAAGAAGGCCUUCGGGUUGUAAAGCCCUUUUGUUGGGAAAGAAAAGCAGCAGGUUAAUACCCCGCUGUUCUGACGGUACCCAAAGAAUAAGCACCGGCUAACUUCGUG
rnacentral:rRNA from 1 species